rnacentral:rRNA from 1 species
UGAGGAACAUGACUUUCGGUGGGGGAGUAGCCGGCCCAACGGCCGGGUAAUACCGCGUACGACCUCUUGGGGACAUCCCCGAGUGGUGAAAGCAGCAAUGCGCCGAAAGAGUGCCUCGCGGCCUAUCAGCUAGUUGGUGGGGUAAUGGCUCACCAAGGCGACGACGGGUAGCUGGUCUGAGAGGAUGGCCAGCCACAGUUGGGACUGAGACACGGCCCAGACUCCGUACGGGAGNAG